rnacentral:misc_RNA from 1 species
CCUCACACACAGCCUCCCCUCCCUCCACCGCCGUGCCAGCCGCCCACAUCCUCUGCUCUCCACUGACCCUCUCCACUCCAGACUCCGCGCGUCGGUGUCUCCAGCCAGCCACAGCCAGUCAGUCCCGGGAGAGUGGCUGAGCAACGCACGUGUCUGGUUUACUCUGCUGCCGCUCCGCUUUGCCUUACCUCCUUUCCUCACCUCCUCAGUGCAUAGCACCCGCAGACCACACCAGACCAGCGCAAUGAAGAGUAUCAGCAGCACAGUGGCAGUAGUGGUGGUGGCGGUGGUGGUGGUGGUGGCGCGGGGUGUGGAGGGAGGCAGAGAGAAGCGAUACAUCUUUGUCAACCCCGACGCUCCCAUCACUCUAGGUUUCAUCCUUAACAUGCCCAUCUCCCUCGCCUUGCCCACUCUGGCGCCUAAGUUUGGAAGGGCGCUGGACGAGGUGGGCGGCGGGCCGGGCGAGUGGGAGACAGACGGCCUUCAGAAGCUAGCGCGCCACAGACAUCUUCGCCCGGAGCAGCUUUCAUGGGACCCCGCUUACGAUCUGCCCUUGUCACACCUCACUGCCUACUUCUCUCAUCUUGAGCUCCCCACACUACCCUGCCAGGAGCGCCUCUUGUGCGAGCUGGCAGCGGAACCAGAGACAUUUGAACCCAUUAACCAGAUCUUCAUGAAGGAGCUGAGGCAGCUGUAUGGGCCAGUGAACACCUCACAGGACUCCCUCAUGUGGCGGUAUAUGAUGGCUGUCAAGGAGGGCUUCAGGGCGCACAUUGAGGAGUGUGCUGUCAAAUAUGAGUUCUGUCCGCUGCCCGCCGACCGCAUCCUCAACAUGCCGGUACUCAAAGUGUGGCAGUACAUCGCGUCCAAACUAAACCUGCAGCUUGUCUAGGCCUGUGUGUGUGUGUGUGUGUGUGUGUGUGUGUGUGUGUGUGUGUGUGUGUGUGUGUGUGUGUGUGUGUGUGUGUGUGUGUGUGUGUGUGUGUGUGUGUGUGUGUGUGUGUGUGUGUGUGUGUGUGUGUGUGUGUAUCU